AGCAUUUGUAUUGCCUGUUCGCUUUUGGAAAUGAGUGAAUGUGGUGUCAAGAAAGGCAAACAGGGAAUACUUUGCAGCCUUUUCUGGCCCUUAGGUUUGGUAUCUUCCGUGCAGGAACUGUACAAGUAACAGUU
rnacentral:snoRNA from 14 species